CGGAAAGCCUGAAGCAGCAACGCCGCGUGCGCGAUGAAGGUACUUCGGAUCGUAAAGCGCUUUUCUGCGAGAUGAGAAAGGACAGUAUCGCAGGAAUAAGUCUCGGCUAACUACGUGCCAGCAGCCGCGGUAACACGUAGGAGGCGAGCGUUAUCCGGAUUCACUAGGGCGUAAAGCGCGUGCAGGCGGUUUGGUAAGUUGGAUGUGAAAGCUCCCGGCUCAACUGGGAGAGGUCGUUCAAUACUACCGAACUUGAGAGUAGAAGAGGAAGAUGGAAUUCCCGGUGUAGUGGUGAAAUGCGUAGAUAUCGGGAGGAACACCAGUGGCGAAGGCGAUCUUCUGGUCUAUUUCUGACGCUCAGACGCGACAGCUAGGGUAGUAAACGGGAUUAGAGACCCCGGUAAUCCUAGCCGUAAACGAUGUGAACUUGGCGUCGGUGGCUUAAACACCAUCGGUGCCGCAGCAAACGCGAUAAGUUCACCGCCUGGGGACUACGGCCGCAAGGUUA
rnacentral:rRNA from 1 species